rnacentral:rRNA from 1 species
UAGAGUUUGAUCCUGGCUCAGGAUGAACGCUAGCGACAGGCCUAACACAUGCAAGUCGAGGGGCAGCACGGUGUAGCAAUACACGGGUGGCGACCGGCGCACGGGUGAGUAACGCGUAUGCAACCUGCCUACUACAAGGGGAUAACCCGUUGAAAGACGGACUAAUACCCUAUAACACAGGGAAUCCGCAUGGAUAUAUUUGUUAAAGAUUUAUCGGUAGUAGAUGGGCAUGCGUUCCAUUAGCUUGUUGGUGAGGUAACGGCUCACCAAGGCAACGAUGGAUAGGGGAACUGAGAGGUUGAUCCCCCACACUGGAACUGAGACACGGUCCAGACUCCUACGGGAGGCAGCAGUGAGGAAUAUUGGUCAAUGGACGAGAGUCUGAACCAGCCAAGUCGCGUGAAGGAAGACGGCCCUACGGGUUGUAAACUUCUUUUGUAAGGGAAUAAAUAGUCUUACGAGCUAAGACGUUGCAGGUACCUUACGAAUAAGGAUCGGCUAACUCCGUGCCAGCCGCCGCGGUAAUUCA